UUUUGCCCAAUGAAUAAUUUAAAUGGCUGCAGUAUUUUGACUGUGCAAAGGUAGCAUAAUAAUUAGUCAUUUAAUUGUUGACUUGUAUGAAUGAUUAUAUGAGGGAUUUUUUUUAUUAUUUAUAUUUAUAUAAUUUUAUUUUUAGGUAAGAAAGCUUAAUUUUUUUUUAGGGACGAUAAGACCCUAUAGAACUUUAUUUUUUAUUUUUUACUUAAAUUUAUUUGUAAUUUAUUUUUAUUAUUUUAUAAGAAAUUUAGUUGGGGCGACUAGUAAAUAUUAAACUUUACUUUUUUAUUUCAUUUUUAAAUGAUUUUAAGAUCCUGUUUUUUAGAUUAAAAGUUUUAGUUACCUUAGGGAUAACAGCGUAAUUUUAAUGGGAAGUUCAUAUUUAUAUUAAAGUUUGCGACCUCGAUGUUGAAUUAAGAUAAAUUUAGGGGGUAG
rnacentral:rRNA from 1 species